UACAGAGGGUGCAAGCGUUAAUCGGAAUUACUGGGCGUAAAGCGCAUGUAGGUGGGACAAUAAGUUUGAUGUGAAAGCCCCAGGCUUAACCUGGGAAUGGCGUUGAAGACUGUUGUUCUAGAGUUCGGAAGAGGCGAGUGGAAUUCCCGGUGUAGCGGUGAAAUGCGCAGAUAUCAGGAGGAACACCGAUGGCGAAGGCAGGUCUCUGGGCCGAUACUGACGUGAGGAGCGAAAGGCGUGGGGGAGCGAACAGG
rnacentral:rRNA from 1 species